rnacentral:rRNA from 1 species
AUAAUCUGCCCUAUGGUGGAGGAUAACCCCGGGAAACUGGGGAUAAUACUCCAUAAGUCAGGAGUACUGGAAUGUCUCCUAACUGAAAGUUGCGGCGCCAUAGGAUGAAUCUGCGGCCGAUUAGGUAGUUGUUGGGGUAACGGCCCAACAAGCCCGUAAUCGGUACGGGUUGUGGGAGCAAGAGCCCGGAGAUGGAAUCUGAGACACGACCCCCGGCCUUUCGGGGCGCAGCAGGCGCUAAAACUUUACAAUGCAGGAAACUGUGAUAAGGGAACCCCGAGUGCCCGUAAACGCGGGCUGUCCCGGUGUUUAAAACACAUCGGAAGAAAGGGCCGGGCAAGACCGGUGCCAGCCGCCGCGGUAAUACCGGCGGCUCGAGUGGUGACCACUUUUAUUGGGCUUAAAGCGUUCGUAGCUUGAUUUUUAAGUCUCUUGGGAAAUCUCACGGCUUAACUGUGAGGCGUCUAGAGAUACUGGGAUCUAGGGACCGGGAGAGGUAGAGUACUUC